UACGGAGGGGGCUAGCGUUGUUCGGAAUUACUGGGCGUAAAGCGCACGUAGGCGGACCAGAAAGUUGGGGGUGAAAUCUCCGGGCUUAACUCGGAACGGUCAACUGAUACUGCUCGGCUAGAGUGCGGAAGGGGCAACUGGAAUUCUUGGUGUAGCGGUGAAAUGCGUAGAUAUCAAGAGGAACACCUGCGGCGAAGGCGGGUUGCUGGGCCGACACUGACGCUGAGGCGCGAAAGCUAGGGGAGCGAACGGG
rnacentral:rRNA from 1 species